rnacentral:rRNA from 1 species
UCAAAGAUUAAGCCAUGCAUGUGUCAGUACAAACUAAAUCCAAAGUGAAACCGCAAAUGGCUCAUUAAAUCAGCUAUGAUUCAUUGGAUCUGUACACCCAGUUUUCCUUGGAUAACUGUGGUAAUUCUAGAGCUAAUACAUGCACAUAUAGUCCCUAACCUCACGGGAAGGGCGCUUUUAUUAGUAUCAAAACCGGUCUGGCUUCGGUCUGUAAAACCAGUUGUGAUGACUCUGGAUAAUUUAAGCUGAGCGCACGGUCUUUGCACUGGCGCCGCUUCUUUCAAGUGUCUGCCUUAUCAGCUGUCGAUUGUAGGUUAUGUGCCUACAAUGGCUAUAACGGGUAACGGGGAAUCAGGGUUCGAUUCCGGAGAGGGAGCCUGAGAAACGGCUACCACAUCCAAGGAAGGCAGCAGGCACGCAAAUUACCCACUCCCAGCUUGGGGAGGUAGUGACGAAAAAUAACGAUGCGAGACUCAUCCGAGGCCUCGCAAUCGGAAUGAGUACACUUUAAAUCCUUUAACGAGGAUCAAUUGGAGGGCAAGUCUGGUGCCAGCAGCCGCGGUAAUUCCAGCUCCAAUAGCGUAUAUUAAAGUUGUUGCGGUUAAAAAGCUCGUAGUUGGAUUUCAGGAUUGGACUGAAGGUUCGCCGUGAGGCGUUUAAAACCUAUCAGAAUCCGAAACCAGCUAUCACAACAACUUUGUGUAUGCCCACACUAGCUCACACGGGGUGUUCUUAAUUGAGUGCCCCGCGUGGCUGGUAUGUUUACUUUGAAAAAAUUAGAGUGCUCAAAGCAGGCCAACUGAAUGGCCUGAAUGUCUAUGCAUGGAAUAAUGUAAAAGGACCUCGGUUCUAUUUUAUCCGGGCUUUUUGUGGAACCCGAGGUAAUGAUUAACGGAGAUGAAUGGGGGCAUUAGUACUGCGACGCUAGAGGUGAAAUUCUUGGACCGUCGCAAGACUAACAACAGCGAAAGCAUUUGUCAAGAUUGUUUUCAUUAAUCAAGA